rnacentral:tRNA from 1 species
GGGCCGUUAGCUCAGCUGGGAGAGCAGCGGACUUUUAAUCCGUUGGUCACUGGUUCGAAUCCAGUACGGCCCA